UGGGGGAUAUUGCGCAAUGGGGGAAACCCUGACGCAGCAACGCCGCGUGAAGGAAGAAGGUUUUCGGAUUGUAAACUUCUUUUAUUAAGGACGAAACAAAUGACGGUACUUAAUGAAUAAGCUCCGGCUAACUACGUGCCAGCAGCCGCGGUAAUACGUAGGGAGCAAGCGUUGUCCGGAUUUACUGGGUGUAAAGGGUGCGUAGGCGGCAAAGCAAGUCAGAUGUGAAAUGUAUGGGCUCAACCCAUGACCUGCAUUUGAAACUGUUUUGCUUGAGUGAAGUAGAGGUAGGCGGAAUUCCCUGUGUAGCGGUGAAAUGCGUAGAGAUAGGGAGGAACACCAGUGGCGAAGGCGGCCUACUGGGCUUUAACUGACGCUGAGGCACGAAAGCGUGGGUAGCAAACAGG
rnacentral:rRNA from 2 species